UGGAUUUCACCUCUAGGAAAAGAUUCCUUCAACCACCACUUGAAGCAGCAUUCAUGUGUUCGUGGAAGCCUCGAUUCAACAAGAAAAAGCGGAGAAGGAGGAGCGAAGCUAGUCAAGCCUCGGAGAAACAUAGGAUUUGAUUCUUGUUCCUUACUCUUUAAAAUUUUAUUGUUGUUGUUAUGAACAUGUCUAUGAAUACUUGUGAUGUUGAUAUGUUUAAUUUAAU
rnacentral:lncRNA from 1 species